UCAAAAUAGUUGCCCUCAAGAAUUCUUAUACCAGUCUAAUUCUUUCACUUUGUUCUUUAAUCAUAUACUCUAUUCUCUUUCGAAAUACCAUUUAUUUUUGUUAUGUUGAUUCCCAAGUUGAAAUUUUUAUGUUUCCAAGGUUAAGAUCACAAUUCAUGCUUUCAGAAUAUUGGGUUUUACGAAGAAAUGUUUCCUUAAAUUUGAAUUUGAGAGAAGGUUGAUUAUUUGGAAAAUGAACCAAGGGAUUCCACUACAAAGGAGUCACAACAAGAUAAGAUUUUUUUUUCUCUCAUGAACCUCAUUCUGGUAAAUUGUAUUAUUUUACUGAAAUUUAUAUAGUUUAUUACCAACCAUUGAAGUACAUAUGAAUAUAUGUACUUUUUUAUUUGUUCUCAGGUCACAGCAAAUGAGACUGACAUGGUUACAAUUGUAGACCUUCCAGCCUGUUGAGGUCAAGGAAUUGUUGAAGGUUAGGAGCAGCAACAUGUCCAAGAAUAAUCCAAUUUUAAUUCCAUUCAGGAUGGUAUUUGGAAAGUCAUUUGUUAAAGGGUUUUAGUGUUUUUAAUUGAAGGUGCAUAAAAAAGAGCUUGAAAGGAUAAAAACAUGUGUUAGUGAAGACAGAUAAUAUAAAAAAGGCCCAUAUAACCUUCCAAUUAGAGCUAGGGGCAAAAAGGUCAUAAAAUGAAAAGAAAGCAAGGCCAUUGGGAUGUUCAUGAAAAAUAAGCAAAACUUUGAAGCCAACACCAAAAAGACAAUAUACAUAUAGAUCCAAAAGUCAUAGCAGCUAACGGAAAUCCCAAGGGUAAAAUGGUCAAAUCUUGGAACAAACGUGUGGGAAUUCUACAAAAAAGUUUGUUUUUUGUUUUUUAAUUUUUUUUUGGAUAUUUAUCUCUCAAAUAAAAUAGAUAGUUUCUCUAAUACAACUUAGAGUUAUUGAUUCUAAUUUGUUUUGAACGAGUGGUAAACUAAAAAACUUAGCUAAUGUAUUUGUAUAAACCGCAAGUUUGAAAUCUUCAUGUGUAGUUGAA